GACGAACCGUGCGAACGUUGUUCGGAAUCACUGGGCUUAAAGGGCGCGUAGGCGGGCUGUCAAGUCAGGGGUGAAAUCUUGCGGCUCAACCGGAAAACUGCCUUUGAUACUGACAGCCUUGAGGAAGGUAGGGGCAUGUGGAACUUCCGGUGGAGCGGUGAAAUGCGUAGAUAUCGGAAGGAACACCGGUGGCGAAAGCGACGUGCUGGACCUUUUCUGACGCUGAGGCGCGAAAGCCAGGGGAGCAAACGGG
rnacentral:rRNA from 1 species